rnacentral:rRNA from 1 species
CCUACGGGUGGCAGCAGUGAGGAAUAUUGGUCAAUGGGCUUACGCCUGAACCAGCCAAGUCGCGUGAGGGAAGACUGCCCUAUGGGUUGUAAACCUCUUUUGUCAGGGAGCAAUGGCGGCUACGUGUAGCCUUAUCGAGAGUACCUGAAGAAAAAGCAUCGGCUAACUCCGUGCCAGCAGCCGCGGUAAUACGGAGGAUGCGAGCGUUAUCCGGAUUUAUUGGGUUGAAGGGGUGCGUAGGCGGAAUGCCAAGUCAGCGGUAAAAUCGCGGGGCUCAACCUCGCUCCGCCGUUGAAACUGGCGUGCUUGAGUGGGCGAGAAGUAUGCGGAAUGCGUGGUGUAGCGGUGAAAUGCAUAGAUAUCACGCAGAACUCCGAUUGCGAAGGCAGCAUACCGGCGCCCAACUGACGCUGAAGCACGAAAGCGUGGGUAUCGAACAGGAUUAGAUACCCUAGUAGUC